rnacentral:rRNA from 1 species
UACAGAGGUCUCAAGCGUUGUUCGGAAUCACUGGGCGUAAAGGGUGCGCAGGUGGUCAUGUAAGUCAAAUGUGAAAUGCCAGGGCUCAACCUUGGAUUCGCAUGUGAUACUGCGUGACUUGAGAACUGGAGAGGGAUCUUGAAUUCACGGUGUAGCAGUGAAAUGCGUAGAUAUCGGAAGGAACACCUGUGGCGAAGGCGGCGACCUGGUCCUUUACGUG